ACGGGGUGCAGCAGGCGCGAAAACUGGCCAAUACGCGAAAGCGUGAGCCGGUUAAUCCGAGUGAUCUCCCAUCGGAGAUCUUUUGUUAUGUUUACAACGCAUAGCGAAUAAUGAGAGGGCAAGACUGGUGCCAGCCGCCGCGGUAAAACCAGCUCUUAGAGUGGUGGGCGUGAUUAUUUGGCUUAAAGUGUGCGUAGCAGGACAGCGUAAGUCCCCCGUGAAAUGCUAGGUCUUAAGCUUAGCGCGGGCGGGGGAUACUGUGCGUCUUGGGACCGGGAUAGGUACAAGGUAUGCAUUGGGUAGGGGUGAAAUCCGAUAAUCCAAUGCAGACCACCGGUGGCGAAGGCGUUGUACUGGAACGGGUCCGACUGUGAGGCACGAAAGCUAGGGUCGCGAGCCGGAUUAGAUACCCGGGUAGUCCUAUGCUGUAAACGAUGCUCACUAAGUGUUAGGCAAUGCAAGACGUUGUCUAGUGCCGAAGGGAAACCGUUAAGUGAGCCGCCUGGGAAGUACGUUCGCAAGAAUGAAACUUAAAGGAAUUGGCGGGGGCCUACUACAAGAAGUGGAGCCUGCGGUUUAAUUGGACUCAACUCCGGGAAGCUCACCUGGGCCGUAACGUGUAUGAUUGUCCUGCUGAAGACACUGCUUGAUGCGUUACUGGAGGUGCAUGGCCAUCGUCAGUUCGUGCCGUGAGGUGUCCUGUUAAGUCAGGCAACGAACGAGAUCCCUACCGUCAAUUGCCAGCGAGACCUCAG
rnacentral:rRNA from 1 species